UUCAAGCCUUUUUUGGGAGACUCGAUGGCUGGUUGGUCACACUGACACCUGGAUUAAAAAUAGGAUCCCUGUACCCUUAUCCUCAGCAUCACUACCCCCACCAAUUGAGAGUCAGACAAUUGUCACGUGACCCAACCCGUCUUUAAAAAUUCUGGAGUUUGGAAAGUACAGAUACACUGGGAAAGAAUAGCUGUAGAAACAUUGACCCUUUUCAGCUUGCUUCUUCAGUUGCAGGUCCAUAUCUGAAGAUGUCUGACACAGAGGAAGUAAUUGAGGAGUAUGAGGAGCAGGAAGGUAUGAUAUUAUUAUUAUUAUUAUUAUUAUUAUUAUUAUUAUUAUUAUUAUUAUUAUUAUUAUUAUUAUUAUUAUCUCCCUGUAUAUAAUA